rnacentral:lncRNA from 1 species
CUCUGGCUGAGCUUCAGUCUCCUACAGUGGCGAGAGAGAGGCACAUAGUAGGCGUUUGAUGACUGGGAGGAUGAGACCGAGUGUGUGGAAGACACGAAGCUACGUCACAGGCUGUCAGGAUCAGAAGUCCAGCUGGAGAAAGAAGACAUCCACAGGAGCAAUUAGUGCUAAGGCCCUGGCAGCCGUCACGUGCUGGGAGCGUGUAGAGGAGGGCCAGCCCGUCAGACAAUGCUGCGGGGAGGAGGCAAGGCUUGAGCAGUCCUUAUCUCAAAGCCUACUUUUUGGAGAACCCAGACUAAGAUCCUCAGAACCUAGAAGUGUGCCCAGUGCAUGGCAGGUGUUUGGUCAAUCUAGAGACACGUUGAAGGACCAAAUGAACAGAAAGGGACAGCCAACGAGGCUUGAUGACAGUCACACAGACAACCUCGAACAGAACUACAGCCAGCAUGCCCCAGCUCAUCCUCAGCCAUCACCCACUGGAAACAAAUUGAAAAUCUCAC